UACAGAGGGUGCGAGCGUUAAUCGGAGUUACUGGGCGUAAAGGGCGCGUAGGCGGUUGAUUGAGUGAGUUGUGAAAUCCCUGGGCUUAACCUAGGAAUUGCAACUCAUACUGGUUGACUGGAGUGCAGUAGAGGAUAGUGGAAUUUCCGGUGUAGCGGUGAAAUGCGUAGAUAUCGGAAGGAACACCAGUGGCGAAGGCGACUAUCUGGACUGACACUGACGCUGAGGCGCGAGAGCGUGGGGAGCAAAC
rnacentral:rRNA from 1 species